GGCCUUGUUUCACUGCUCGUGGAGCGGGCGUCUGCCCCCCGUCUCACUGCGUCUGCGGUGCGGUGAUCAGUGACCCGUCCGUGCGGUCCGCUGUUCCCUGUCCGCUCUUUCCUGUCGUCCUCUUUUCCCCUUUCUCUUUGACUUUCGUGAUUGGUCUGUGAGAAACACGAUGCCGGCCUACCUGCCCAGGCUGCCUCGGCGCUACUGCUCAAGGCCGCUUCGCCGCCAUUGCCGCCGGGGGCGGACGGGGUUGGGAUUUGUUCGCUGUGCGCACGGACUGCCACUGUCGCUUCCGUCGUGUCUCUUCCCCUGUACCUGCCCUUGACUUCUGUGAUGUGUUGGGAACUUGGGAUUUGUUCGCCGUGUGCAAGGACAGGCGGCCCACGACCUGCCUGCCCCCCGUGUCGUCAUGGUCGCUCAGCCGGCGCUGUUGCAGCCUCGCGGCCCACGACCUACCUGUCCGCCGUGUCGUCAUGCCCGCUCAGCCGGAACUGAUCCAGCCUUGUGUGCAUGUGACGGCAGCGACGUGCCUCGCCUAUAUAUAUCGUUUUCCUCAUUGCAGUCGGGUCGCCUCUACGCCCCACACCCCCCUUCGCCCACUGCCAUCGUCUUUCCUUCAUCGUCGGUCCUGUGCGGUGCAUCCGCGCCGGGUCUGCCUCCGGGAUUUCUGUUCGCCGUUCGUUCCUGUUGUUUUCCUCCUCCCGUCAGCCAUGUCCUGAGUCGUACCUUCGCCUGCGUUCGCUUAGGUUGUUGCCGUCGUGCCGUUCGUGUGUGCUCUUCGCUUGGUCCAGCGGGAAAUCGGGUCUUCUUUGCAGCUUGCCUCCUCUAGUUUUGUCGAUCUCAUUGUUCGGUGGAGCUUCGCUGUUGAGGUCUUAGCUGUUCUAUGCGAGAUUCCGCCCUUGCAUAAUACAUGUAGUAGGCUUUUGCGAUGGGAAGACCCCUGGACCUGCCGGCAGGAUCUGAUGCAGUGUGCUCUUCAUCCGGUUCUGAAUUCGUCUGCUUGCCUAAAAGAAAAUGGGAUGGCUUUUUCCCCGUUGCUUCCGACCCAAAUGUCUGCUAGGAAUCGAAAAAAAAGGAAGCUUGCUUUAGAUAUUACCCGCGGGCAUGCUGCAGGCGCUCCUUUCACUUCUCCUCUUGCUGUAGGGUGGACUGGUUUUACCUCAGAAGAGUGCGAGCUGCUCAAAGCAACGCAUAGGAAGAAGAGAAGUUACUAUGGUGGCCCUGGGUAUCGGUGCAGCCGGUGUGUCUCUGAUUUUUGGUACCAGGAGCGAGUGGCGAAUCGAUCAGCCAUCACGCAAAGGCGUGUAGUGUACAACCUCUGUUGCAAAGGGGGCAAGGUGUUUAUGCCCCCUUUCCAGCAGCCGCCUGCUUACUUGCACGAUAUGCUUCGUUCUGCACACUGCUGAAUUUCAGAAGAGGGGCUUCCUCAUGCGCACAUACUGAUUUGGCUGAGGAAUAAAAAAACUGACGUGAGAGUGACACUUAAUAAGAAGACGCAGGGUCACGAGUCUACACUCAACUUGCCUGUGGCGUUGAUGAGACUCCCUCUUUAUCAGUUUGCUUUAUUUGGACUUCCGCUUGGCUUGUAAUAAGUACUCUGGAUUUGUAUUCGAACCGAUGUAAUAGACAUGUGUAUGAUAUUUCAUCAAUGGAACUGCGUGUGCUAGCA